GACGAACGCUGGCGGCGUGCUUAACACAUGCAAGUCGAACGGUGAACCUCUUCGGAGGGGAUCAGUGGCGAACGGGUGAGUAACACGUGGGCAACCUGCCCCCGGCUCUGGGAUAACUCCAAGAAAUUGGGGCUAAUACCGGAUGUUCACCGCUUCCCGCAUGGGUGGUGGUGGAAAGGGUUUCCGGCUGGGGAUGGGCCCGCGGCCUAUCAGCUUGUUGGUGGGGUAGUGGCCUACCAAGGCGACGACGGCUAGCCGGCCUGAGAGGGUGACCGGCCACACUGGGACUGAGACACGGCCCAGACUCCUACGGGAGGCAGCAGUGGGGAAUAUUGCGCAAUGGGCGGAAGCCUGACGCAGAGACGCCGCGUGGGGGAUGACGGCCUUCGGGUUGUAAACCUCUUUCAGCAGGGACGAAGCGCAAGUGACGGUACCUGCAGAAGAAGCACCGGCCAACUACGUG
rnacentral:rRNA from 1 species